UGAAAGCAGAUACAGGAAACUCUGUCCCUGGAUUUUUGGUCAAGACUCCUGCUUCUAUGGCCUGGGCUCCCUGGCCCUGCUUGUCCCCGGGUUCCUUGGUUGGCGUCUUCACCCCCUGAUGUGACAGUGCCGACUCUCAGCCCCAGGCUCAGGGCCUCUGCCCUGCUUCCCCCCACCCCCUCCCC